GGAGUUUGGACCGUGUCUCAGUUCCAAUGUGGGGGACCUUCCUCUCAGAACCCCUACUGAUCGUCGCCUUGGUGAGCCGUUACCUCACCAACUAGCUAAUCAGACGCGGGUCCAUCUUGUACCGAAAAUACUUUUCACACUGUACCAUGUGGUACCGUGCGCUUAUGCGGUAUUAGCAGUCGUUUCCAACUGUUGUCCCCCUGUACAAGGUAGGUUACCCACGCGUUACUCACCCGUCCGCCACUCAGUCAACAAAAGUAUUGCUACUUCCAUGUUACCGUUCGACUUGCAUGUAUUAGGCCUGCCGCCAGCGUUCAAU
rnacentral:rRNA from 1 species